rnacentral:rRNA from 1 species
UACGAAGGGUGCUAGCGUUGUUCGGAAUCACUGGGCGUAAAGCGCGCGUAGGCGGCUUUUCAAGUCAGGGGUGAAAUCCCACAGCUCAACUGUGGAACUGCCUUUGAAACUAGCAAGCUUGAGUGUCGGAGGGGAUAGCGGAAUUGCUAAUGUAGAGGUGAAAUUCGUAGAUAUUAGCAGGAACACCGGUGGCGAAGGCGGCUAUCUGGACGACAACUGACGCUGAGGCGCGAAAGCACGGGGAUCAAACAGG